rnacentral:lncRNA from 1 species
AUGUCUUUGGUUUUUCUUAAGCAAUUCUUUGUUAUCAUCUCAAUGAAAAGUGGCUUUAACUUCUAGAAUUGUCAUCCAAGGUUGUCCUAGCCCUUUUUUUUUUUGGUGAUAUGGGAGUAUCUUGGUCUGGUUGAAAUUUACACAUAUUCGAAGGGUAAGAACCCAGAUGACAAGGACCUGAUGAUCCUAUUUUCCAAGAAGAGAACUGUGGAGGUCUUUCUGUAAUAGGAUUCACAAAGACCUGAUAAAACAGUUUAAAUAGCAAGUCUUCUCACAUUCAUUUUCUUCUCAGACUCCCAAGAUGAUUCACUUUCUAAUUGAAACAUGUUGGUCUGGGGUUCAAGUGUGAAUCACAAACCAUUCUGCUCCACCAGAGGCUCCCCAGUCUUCUCUUAACAAGACAGUGGAGGCUGCUGCCCUGAUUGUUGCCUCCCCAAAGGCCUUCCAAUCUGCUCUCAACAACGCAGUAGAGGUUGCUCCCCCUAUUGCUGCUGCCCCUAAGGCUCCCCUCUCCUGGGCUGGUCUCCUACAUCAAGCGCAAGGCACCAACUCCUGGAAGCCUAACGCUGCAUGAGAGGAGAAUAUUUAACGCAUUUAGGCAAGCUCAAAGUUGUUCCCUGAUCUAAAUGAUGAUGAAGUGGAUAUAGCAAAACAAGCAUGGAGAACAAGUUUAUAUGAAAAUUCUUUAGUAAAACUCCUUUGGAUUCCAUUAAAAUAGCUCUUCCUAAACUGUGGCAGUUGAAGAAAUCGAUCCAUGUUAUAGACAUGGUCGGUGGUUUCUUUUGCUUUAGAUUUUAGUCGGAGGAAGAGAAGGAUACUGUGCUCACAGGUGGUCUGUGGUUUUGGACUUCGGAGGAGACAAGCCUUGAGUCUAAUUCCAUAGAAGGAGAACUUCCAACUCCUUAAGGAGUUUGUUAGAUUCGUACCCAUCUAGGUACAAUUUCUUGGGAUACCCCCUUGAAUUCUUACAGUCUAACAUCUUAUUCCAAAUCGUUGCGAUGACCGAUAAACCCCUCAAAAUAGACGAAAUCACAUAUAGGGGAGUGAGGGAAAAGUUCGUCAAAGUAUGCAUCAUGGUUGAUCUCUCCUCCCCUCUCCCUCAUCCCCCAAGGGGUGUGGAUUAGGGCUAAAGGAGUUCCUUUCUUCUAGAACAUGGACGGUGAAAACCUUCCUAGUUUUUCUCUUAUGGAAGGAUAGGUAAUAAGGCAUAGGGUUGUCUUUAGAAGCUGUGUCGAUGCCCAAAAUACAUGAAGAACCAAUGUCUAAUUCUGGUAGGGUUUCGGCAAGCGGCCACAACACACAAGUGAGGGAGGGGAAGGAACAUUAGUUGUACGGACCAUUAUCCAUGGUCCUGUAAAAAGUAAACCCAGGUUGAAGGCGACUAAUCCUAGUUCAACCAAGACCAAGGGGAACUAAACCCUUAGGGAGCAUGACGAAGUCAAAAUUUUAUUGACAAUGCUAGCUUUAUGGAUUUGGGCUUCUACAACCCUUGCUUUACUUGGUGCGAUAAUAAAUUUUGUCAAUAGUUGUUGGGUUUCUACUGUUAUUGAUCGGGUUCUCGCUAAUAGUUGUUGGCUUUCUACCGUUAUUGAUGUUGCUGUUUUCCACGUACCUCAUAUAGCUUCAGAUCAUGCCCUUUUACUUAUUAAAGUUACUUUUGAGUAUGUUAGGAAGAGGGAAAAAAAAAAAGCUUUCUACUUUAAGCCCCACUGGUUUGAGUGCCCUAGUCUCACCUUCAUUGUUCAAGAUGACUGGCCACUUCAGGGUAGGAUGGUUACACGGUUGAUUUCUUUGUCCACUUCUGGGAGCUCCUUAAGUUUCCUAUUGAAUCGGCCUUUAGAGAAUUACAUAGAUCGACUGUGAUUCCUUAAAGUUGAGGGAAACUACUCUAAUUUUUCAUUCCUAAGAAGGAUAGCCCUCUCUAAAUCAAUGACUUAGACAAAUCAAACCUCUUUUAGGCAACCUCACCAAUCAAGAGCAAUAUGCUCCUUUACAAAAGCAUUUCUUGUCCCAAGCUGGUAAAGUAGCAUUAAUAAACUCUCUUUUUAACUCCAUUCCCUGACAUUCGAUUGUUAGUUGUUGGAUCACCAAUAAAUUUGCUAAUGAUAUCUCCAAAUAUAGCAAAUCUUUUUUUGGGGGUGAUUCUUCUUCACAUAGAAAGAUCAGACUCCUCAGUUGGGAUCAUGUUACUGCCCCUAAAGAUUCUGGUGGGCUGGGGGUCUGGGACAUUAGCAUAGUCAAGUAUGUUGUCAAUGCUAGGCGCAUUCUUCCUAUCCUCAACAACUCCAACUUCCUUUGGGCUAGAAUCCUUAUUGCCAAGUAUGACAUCCCUGACCCUUGGGCCUUGGACCGUAGAAAAAUCUCUCAAAUCUGGACAGGCAUCAACAACACUAUUUAUUGUGUUAGAGAGAGUCUUAGGAGGGUAGUAGGAACUGGGCAACACAUCAGAUUAUUGGAUGACCCUUGGCUCUCCAACAUACCCCAAGUAAAUGGUCCACUUUCUUCAACUGUGAUAGGGUUAAUGACUUCAAUUCUGUUGAAGAUCUGUGUGUCAACAGAACUAGGAAUAUUCAGCUCCUGCUAGAUAUCUUUCAUCUCAUCUUGGUUGGCAAGAUCACAAGUAUCCACUUGGCCCUUGAGUCUGAUGAUGAUAGUUGAGUUUGGAGUUCUCACCCUCAGGGUUUGCAAUUUCUAAGAGCAUAUAUAUAGAUAGUUGAGGGAUAGACGAAUUGAUCAUAGGAGGGGUUGGGAUGGUUGGAACGUUGUGUAUAUUCUGAAUGCUCUUCCUAGAGUUAAAAGUUUUCUUGUGAAAAUUCCUUUGGGGAAGAUUACCUAUUUCUUUGUGUCUCUCAAAUGUCAUACAGUAUUAUGUGGAUCAAUAUUGUGUUGGUAAUGAUGAGGUGGACUCGCUGAGCACAGUCUCUUUUCUUGCAACUUUGCUAGAUCUAUUGGGAACUGCUUCAAACAAAGCUGAGCUUCAAUUUCUCUUGUAUGGCA